rnacentral:rRNA from 1 species
GAUGAACGCUGGCGGCGUGCCUAAUACAUGCAAGUCGAGCGAACGGACGAGAAGCUUGCUUCUCUGAUGUUAGCGGCGGACGGGUGAGUAACACGUGGAUAACCUACCUAUAAGACUGGGAUAACUUCGGGAAACGGGAGCUAAUACCGGAUAAUAUUUUGAACCGCAUGGUUCAAAAGUGAAAGACGGUCUUGCUGUCACUUAUAGAUGGAUCCGCGCUGCAUUAGCUAGUUGGUAAGGUAACGGCUUACCAAGGCAACGAUGCAUAGCCGACCUGAGAGGGUGAUCGGCCACACUGGAACUGAGACACGGUCCAGACUCCUACGGGAGGCAGCAGUAGGGAAUCUUCCGCAAUGGGCGAAAGCCUGACGGAGCAACGCCGCGUGAGUGAUGAAGGUCUUCGGAUCGUAAAACUCUGUUAUUAGGGAAGAACAUAUGUGUAAGUAACUGUGCACAUCUUGACGGUACCUAAUCAGAAAGCCACGGCUAACUACGUG